rnacentral:lncRNA from 1 species
UGCCUCCCUAAUGCUGGGGUUACAGAUGUGCACCAGGGUGCAGUCCUCCUGACCCUUUAUCUGAGUGCUGCAGGCAUGCCCUCAAUCUCUCAAGUCUGAACCAUGAUGACCCCUCACCAAGAGGGACUGACUGGCCUCUAGCUUACACAUCUGCUGUCAGCUCCAUGGGCUGCUGCCACCCUCCCCGGCCCAGUGCUUACUCUUCCUGGCACAGAGACUUGAAGAUCUGCCUCUUCUUCCACAUGUUCUGGGCCUUCUGGCUGUACACCCGCUGCUCCUGCAUCUCCUCCUGCUCCGACCUGUGCACCAGAGGUGUUCUAGACGCUGUCCAAACUAUCUUCCCUCCUCCCCCACCUCCCUGCUGUCACCUGUACAUGCAGGUCUUCUUCAGGGAACACCAGCGAUUCAGUUCCUUGUCAUCAGCUGAAAGGAUCUGCAUGAGGAGGAAGAUACCUACUGUGUGGUCCUGGGGCUGCCUCUGAGCCUCAGUGACUCAGCAGGGGUGGCAAGAGGGCGGGGGACAACUGAGUUUGGUGUUUUGAUAUUGAGGCAGGGUUUGUUUGAAUGUCUACCUGUAGCUCAGGCUAUCUUGGAAUUCCCAGCAGUCCCCUCCUACCUCAGCCUCUAGUGCUGGCCUCCAUUAACAGUUUCAGCUGUUAGUGACAGAGACAGCACCGAACUCCAGAUCUCCCUGUCUGACCUCUUCACAGAGGGUGUUCACCUCCUCCAGUCCCUUGCCCCUCCCUCAAUUUUCCCUGCCGGCCCUGGUCCCAACCUCCUCUGUGCUGAGCCCGAAGUCGCAGGGCACCACAGUGCGGUACUUGAAACGACAGGGCAGGUCGUCGAUAAUGUCCUCGUAGUCCAGACGGUAGUACUCAUCUAGGUACUCCUCAAAGGUCUUGUCCCCUGCACAGGAGAUGCACAGCCGGGUAGUAUGUGUUCAAAGCCCCAUGAGGCACACUGCCCCAUCAUGCCAUGCACCUCACCAGGGUCAAACAUGGGCUUCUCCUGCCCCACUGCAGCUGCAAAUGGAGACUUGCGCUUUCUCUUGCCUGAGGUGGGGGCCUCACGAAGCUUCUUCCGUGGUUGGCUGGGGUCAUAGUCUGCAUCCAUCUAUCAGAAAGAGCAGGUCAGAUCAGGCCAGUUCUAAACACUUCUGGAGCAUCCAGACCCCACCAGGGACACUCGUUGUUCUCAAGGUCUCAUACAACCCAUGCUGGCCUCAAAUGUGCUCUGCGGCCAAGGCUUGGAACAUGUUCACAGAAAGCUCUUGCUGUCAACUGCACCUACUUCAGACUCACACCAGUGGCACUCACGUUAAAGUCAGGGUCCUCACAGUGCAGCUCCUGUUGGCUCCAGGCCCCAUCUUGCUCGGGUCCACCCCACAUGUCCCAGUUCCAGUCAUCUGGUUCCACGGAGGACAGACAAAGUGAGACCAGCACUGCACUGCACUGCACCAGCCCUGCUCCCCCCUCUUUCUAAGACACGCACCUUCUAGCCCGUCCUCUUCCUCAAACUGUGGCUUCUCUUCCUCCGCAGUACCAUAGAAGGCAUCUCCAAAACAUUUCUGCAAGGGAAGGGCAGGCCUAAGGGGCAGCAGCACCGACAGCUACAGGAGCUCAGCCGCCCCAUGCCAAUGCCAGCACAACUCAGCCUUGUACAAGACAGGAUGUCAUGUAGGCCAGGCUAGACGCAAACUAUGUACCAUAGGCUAGCCUUGACAUUGUGAUCCAUUUGCUUCCACCCAAGUGUGGUAAGUGCAGACGUGUGAAUGAGGUUUUUGCUUUAUUGAGAGAAAGUCUUAUAGUCCUGCCUCAGACUCUCAAGUGCUAGGAUUCUAAGCUCAUGCCAACACACCCAACUUUGUGUGGCUCCUGAGUCUUCCAAGAAAUGGUCUCCUGUGUGCUGAGACCUUCCACAGCACCUCCUGUUUAGGGUGCAGUGGUUUCACACAACAGCUACUACAUCUCUGUAGGAUUCAGACCCUGCCAUCACUUGUGCCCCUCUACCCAUGACAUAGUCGCUACUCAGGACUCUACUGAGCUGUCAUCAUUCCUGAUAGGCUGAGAGGAAGUUUCCUCCAAGAUCCUACCUACACUAGACAUGGUACACACCUGAGCCCAGGGGAUCAGGAGUAGCAGGCUGGCCUGGACUACAAAAUGAGCCUGAGCCUGGAACUCAGGUGAUAGGAUGCUGUCCCAAUACACACAAAAACCCUGGCACCACCCCUAACACUACAAUCCAUAUCUGAGCCACAGUUGUGAUUCUACAAGGACACUGCAGCCACGGGUCUCCAUGGCUACCAUGAUCCCUGAGUCUAUACAGGUAUACAGUAGGCUCACAAUUACAUGGCAGUUGGGGCUGGGCACAUCACCACAGAAACACAUCUAUUGCGGGCCUACCAGAAGACAACAUGAUCUACUGUGCAUUUAUUUUCAUUUUUUACUGCCUUUAUUUUUACUCAGUGUGUAUGGAGCUUUGCCUGCAUGUAUGCCUACACCACAUGCAUGUGUGACGCUCCUGAAGGCCAGAAGAGGGAAUCAGAUCCCCUUAGACUGUAGUUACAGUGAGCUAUGAGGUGACUUGGAGGCGAUGGGAACUGAACGUUGGUCUUCUGGAAGAAUAGCCAAUACGCUUUAAGGCUGAGCCAUCUCUUUAGGCCUAUCGUGCACAUAAUAAAGAAUUUGCAUAUGCUC